AAAGUCGUAACAAGGUUUCCGUAGGUGAACCUGCGGAAGGAUCAUUACAAAUUAUGACGAACUUCGCGUUUCGCGAGGUUUUGCGUCCACUUUUCGUAUUUAAAACAUCCCACUCUUUAAAAAAAAAAAAUUAUCUAUAAUGAUAAAUAAAAGAUCACUUUCAACAACGGAUCUCUUGGUUCUC
rnacentral:misc_RNA from 1 species